rnacentral:rRNA from 1 species
GCGAACGCUGGCGGCAGGCCUAACACAUGCAAGUCGAACGAACUCUUCGGAGUUAGUGGCGGACGGGUGAGUAACACGUGGGAACGUGCCUUUUGGUUCGGAAUAACUCAGGGAAACUUGUGCUAAUACCGAAUGUGCCCUUCGGGGGAAAGAUUUAUCGCCAUUAGAGCGGUCCGCGUCUGAUUAGCUAGUUGGUGAGGUAACGGCUCACCAAGGCGACGAUCAGUAGCUGGUCUGAGAGGAUGACCAGCCACACUGGGACUGGGACACGGCCCAGACUCCUACGGGAGGCAGCAGUGGGGAAUCUUGCGCAAUGGGCGAAAGCCUGACGCAGCCAUGCCGCGUGAAUGAUGAAGGUCUUAGGAUUGUAAAAUUCUUUCACCGGGGACGAUAAUGACGGUACCCGGAGAAGAAGCCCCGGCUAACUUCGUG